GUUUUACCCAAUACCGCCUGACGCAGCCGACUCCAACUAUCAGUAUUGCGUCAGACAUCGUUUCCCUGGUGUUGGCGCAAUAUUCGCGCACCCCGGCCUCGGC
rnacentral:sRNA from 1 species